rnacentral:rRNA from 1 species
AACGAACGCUGGCGGCAUGCCUAACACAUGCAAGUCGAACGAGACCUUCGGGUCUAGUGGCGCACGGGUGCGUAACGCGUGGGAACCUGCCCUUAGGUUCGGAAUAACUCCCCGAAAGGGGUGCUAAUACCGGAUAAUGUCUUCGGCCCAAAGGUUUAUCGCCUUUGGAUGGGCCCGCGUUGGAUUAGCUAGUUGGUAGGGUAAAAGCCUACCAAGGCGACGAUCCAUAGCUGGUCUGAGAGGAUGAUCAGCCACACUGGGACUGAGACACGGCCCAGACUCCUACGGGAGGCAGCAGUGGGGAAUAUUGGACAAUGGGCGAAAGCCUGAUCCAGCAAUGCCGCGUGAGUGAUGAAGUCCUUAGGGUUGUAAAGCUCUUUUACCCGGGAUGAUAAUGACAGUACCGGGAGAAUAAGCUCCGGCUAACUCCGUG